GUGGGGAAUCUUAGACAAUGGGGGAAACCCUGAUCUAGCCAUGCCGCGUGAGCGAUGAAGGCCUUAGGGUUGUAAAGCUCUUUCAGCUGGGAAGAUAAUGACGGUACCAGCAGAAGAAACCCCGGCUAACUCCGUGCCAGCAGCCGCGGAAAUACGGAGGGGGUUAGCGUUGUUCGGAAUUACUGGGCGUAAAGCGCGCGCAGGCGGAUUGGAAAGUUUGGGGUGAAAUCCCGGGGCUCAACCCUGGAAUGGCCUUCAAAACUCCCAGUCUUGGGGUCGAGAGAGGUGAGUGGAAUUCCGAGUGUAGAGGUGAAAUUCGUAGAUAUUCGGAGGAACACCAGUGGCGAAGGCGGCUCACUGGCUCGAUACUGACGCUGAGGUGCGAAAGCGUGGGGAGCAAACAGGAUUAGAAACCCGUGUAGUCC
rnacentral:rRNA from 1 species